rnacentral:misc_RNA from 1 species
ACAUCGCGUCGCCACACCUCGACUCUCCUCCGCUCUCCCAUCUGACCCCCCUCCUGCCUACCGCCCCCUCUCUCCUCGUCCGCUGUGCUGCGUCGUCUGCCUUCCACCCCUUCCGUGGCCUCUCCCGUCUUCCUCGGCGCCGCCCUUCGCACUCUCUCGCUCUUGUGCGUUUUCGCCCAUGACGCCGAGUAUACCACUCAUUCUCUACGUGGUCCUGCAGUUCGUGGCGUUCCUUCUGAUGCUGGUGGGAACUCCGCUGGACAUUGUCCGCCGAAGAGAUGUUGCGGCGGGUAUCCCGCUCACAUGCAUGACCCUAUGGGGUUUUAAAGUAGACUGCUUUUCGGUAGACUACAGUAUUACUAUAGACGUUUUGUUUGGUGCAUGUCCUCCCCGCAUUAACCGCUUUCGGGUUGCACAGGUGUUUGUUGUCCUUUCUAUCCUGGUGUACGGCGCCGCGUGCAUCCUGGACGUUAUGUUACUGUGCGGAAUCUCUUUACUCCGCUGGGUCUGCCUGGCGCUCAACGUUGUUGGCAGCGUCACCCUGUGCGUUGUGUGGGCGGCCAUGGCGAGGACCUUCCUCAAGGAUGAUGGCCCACAGUGCUCUAGUUUCAGAGAGGUCAACAAAUAUGGUCCGGGCUUCAUUCUUUUGGUGGUGGCCUGGAUACUGGAUACCCUCAACAUCAUCCUCUUGCUGCUCCCGUGCACAAGCACAGAAGGUGCGGAGUAUAAUAAAGAGCAGCCUCUUACAGCGCAGGAGUAGAAUGGAGGUAGUAGGAGGAGACGGAGGGCGAGCUUGACAGCGGCGCGGCCCCUCCCCCACACCGGCGUCCUCGUGGUGGAGCCGGUGUCGGCGAGGAUGUGGGUGCGCAAGCUGCGGGUUCCCGUGUGUGCCCUUCGCCGGCCCAGCCCUCUCGCUGCCCUGUCGCGCGUGCGUGCACGCACCCGCUCUCCGCACACAUGGCGGGGAGUCCUCCCACCCCCGCUGCCGUCACCUCUCUCUUUUCGCGCUGCCCCGCAUUGCCCCCGCUGUGCGCGUGCGUCUCAUGACGAGCGUGGCUUUGCGCGUCUCCCCUUCCUCCUCCCCCACUCCCUCACCCGAAGCGUCGUUGUGGUGCGCGCGCAUGCCUGCUGGGUCGUGGGUGGCAGCGCGGCCCGCGGAAGGAAGUACCUGAUGGUGCUUUCCUGGCUCCGCUCUCUCUGCCUGUUUGUCUUCCCACUCACGACUCCCUUGCGCCUGUGCGGUUGCUGUUUUCGCGUUUCCUCUUUGGUCUGCACGGCGAUCUGCGCUGGGCAGUGGGCAGCGCACGCUGGGCGCCGGCAGGUCCGUUCGCGCUGCCUUCUUCCCACUUAUCCCCCCCGCUCCUAUUGUGAGCUGGUUGCCUUGAUCAGCUUCUGCGAAUCGCCGCCGUGACGCCCACCCGGGGGCGGCACCCUUGCUGAGGCGACGAAGCGGGGGGAGGAUGCGGGAUGCCGACACGGUCGCAGCGGGCCGGACUGUGUGCGCGGGAAAGGGAGAGCGAAGGCUUGUGGCGAAUGGCCGAACGGGAAGGGGAAGGCGGGCGCGACGGAGGGGAGACACCGACGCCCUCGCAGGGAUGGCGGGAAGCUCAGAGCCACACACCGAAUCAGCCAGCUGCCCCCCUUCAACUGCAUACCCCGCAGUCGGCAUCGCGCGUGCUCUGCUAUGCCUCUUCUACCUGCGCUCCGCUAGCCGCCGUCACUGCGUUUCCUCCCUGAAACACGCUCCGCAGUGACUGCAUGAACGGAGGAGGGCGAUGGAGCGAGGGAGGGUGCGAGGUUCCAGAGGAGGUGCUGGCGGGGGUGGGAAGCAGAAAGGCGGGCUAGCAGGCGCAUGGGGCAAGGAAAGAGGGCACCGCCAUGCACAGGCACCGCUGCCGAGGGGUGGUUGCGGCACUUCCUCCAGGAGUGCUGAUGGCACACGGCGCCUGUAUGCGUGUGUGUCUGUGUGCAGGCGCCCCCUGCGACCCUCCUCCCUCUUCUUCCGUGAGCGGCCCCCGCGACCGCGCCCCUCCCUCGCUUACGCUGCCGUUGCUCGCGCGUCUCUGUUUUCGUGCGUUGUUCGCGGGUGCCGCCGCACGCUCUCGCGCUCCUUGACGCUCGUUUCUCUUUCGGGUUCUGCGAUGCUUGCUGUUCUCUCCUCCGCGCAGAGAGAGGUGCGUGGUGUGCGCGUGUGCGUGCCCCUCCGGCCUUUUUUCUUUUCGUCUCCGCCGCUGCCCCUCUUUUUCCUUCUCGCAUACACGCACACACUCACACCUGUGUGCUUGCGCGCAGGCGGCGGCGCCUGAUGGAGACGACGAAGUGAAAAGCAGAAGCAGCCGUGCGGCAGCGCAAAGGAAAUACGGUGUGUGUGAGGGAGGAGGAUGAGAGGCACACACGCACGGACGCUGGCACGGGAGUAGUGGUGGUGCAGAAGGGGAAAACACGUUGCGCAACGAGUGAAUAUGAGGGCUGAGUGAAGGAGAGGCAGGGGUGCUUUUCUGCUCGGUGUUCGUACACCCGACUCGAGCCUGCCUGCGUCUGCGCUCCCUGUGCCCCUCUGUUUCCUUGCCUCUGUCGUGUGCAACUUGUUUUGUGUGCUUCGAUGGCUUCGUUGCGUACGUACACCGCUGAAUCCUCCGCGGUGCAACGAGAGGAAUCUCGAGAGCAGCUUACGGGAUGCAGCGACCUGCCGCGACUGUGGGGAGAGAAACACGGUACCUAGGUAGACUGCAGGGCCUCACAGGGCCCUGGCCUCAGGAUGCACCACUUCCUCGCUGAUCUCAUCCGGGGUGCUUCUCAGCAAUCUCCCCACUGCAUUCCCACGGCAGAGACCACCGCCUCUGCCCUGGUGCACGACCCUGACGGCAGCCCAGCUUAUAGAACGGCGCGCAGUGCAGUCAAGACGGUGUGGCGCCGGUUGCGCAGCACGUGUGCAAGGAGGGCGUAUAGCGAAGGGAGCCAUGGCACGGGUAGCUGCAUAGCCUGAUGCAGCGGCACCACGCGUCCGCGUAGACAACACGUAUGUAGCUGCACUCCCACAGAAGUAGGAGGGCUGUGGCUGUACGCGCGCAUCUGCCGGCUUGUGCGUGGUGGCGUGGAGGCGGUAAAAAGCGGGUGCAUGCCUCCCGUAUUCAGACGGCAGGUACAUGGAUGCGACUGAACGACGAGUGCAUAUGUAUUUUCAUCUAUAUCUGUGUGUGCGCGCACCAAGACCACCGCCUAACGCCUCACAUGACGUUGUCCUCGCCUGACAGGGCGGAGGGCGUUUGCUUCUCCCUUCUCUCUUGCUUGUGCUUUGUUUUUGUGCUUCGUGACGCGCCUUCCUGCGCGCGUGCCUCAUCGCUCUCAUGCUUGCCUCCCUUUUCCGACUCCCUCACCCCGACAACGC